AUUGAACGCUGGCGGCAGGCCUAACACAUGCAAGUCGAGCGGAUGAAGAGAGCUUGCUCUCUGAUUCAGCGGCGGACGGGUGAGUAAUGCCUAGGAAUCUGCCUGGUAGUGGGGGACAACGUUUCGAAAGGAACGCUAAUACCGCAUACGUCCUACGGGAGAAAGUGGGGGAUCUUCGGACCUCACGCUAUCAGAUGAGCCUAGGUACGAUUAGCUAGUUGGUGAGGUAAAGGCUCACCAAGGCGACGAUCGUUAACUGGUCUGAGAGGAUGAUCAGUCACACUGGAACUGAGAAACGGUCCAGACUCCUACGGGAGGCAGCAGUGGGGAAUAUUGGACAAUGGGCGAAAGCCUGAUCCAGCCAUGCCGCGUGUGUGAAGAAGGUCUUCGGAUUGUAAAGCACUUUAAGUUGGGAGGAAGGGCAGUAAGUUAAUACCUUGCUGUUUUGACGUUACCGACAGAAUAAGCACCGGCUAACUUCGUGCCAGCAGCCGCCGUAACAC
rnacentral:rRNA from 1 species